UUAGCAUGUGCUUGGAGCAAGUCUCUUUGAGCUCAGUUCCUUGCCUUACAGAAGAGAGAGCAGGUGCCAGAAAUCUCUGGAGGGAUACUCUCCAUAAAGACUUCUGUAGGAAAGGAGGAUGUAUUUACCCUGUGGCACUAAGACUGCAAGGGGAUUGGGGAGGGGAGAGAGGAUGAGGGCUGGUGGAGGCCCUGGGAGGGAGAGGUACAAAACAAGGGAGUAUGUUGCUAUGGUAAUUUGGCUGUAGUAUUCCCCAGCUUCCUUUGGAUGCCCUAGUGGAGGAGGAUUUUUAGCACAGAGCUAAAAAAGCCUUUCUGUUAGUUCCUGCAAUAGCUGUCAGAUGAAUCUUUGGGAGGGGCAGGGUAUGACUUUGGAAGGUCUUCUAAAGUUGAGAAAGAAUAAAGACGACAAGGAGUGGGCAACAUUCUGACCUCUUGCCUUGUUUUUUUCAAUUUAUAUUAAGCACCACUAUAAAAUGGAGAAUAAAAAUUACAAACAGAUGUUAGGAGAAUUACACAAUCCUGUAGGAUAACUUGGAUUCAAGUUCCUGAUCUGACACACUCAUUAGCUGUCUGUCCUUGAGCAAAUCACUUUCUUCUUUGAGAGCCUGAGCUUCUCAAAUGAAGGGGUUGGACUAGAACAGAGGUUCUUAACCUUUUUUUGCACCAUGGACCCCCUUGACAGUCUGGUCAAGGUUAUGGACUCUUCAGAAUGUGUUUUAAAAUACAAAGAAUUAAAGGGAACCAACUAUAUUCAAAUGUAAGGAUUAAAUUAUUUAAGAAAAAUAAAGUUCAUACUUCUUAGAUUCAGAACCCUAGGAACAGAUGAUCAUAAGAUCAUAGAUUUAUCCUGGAUAGGACCUUAGAAGUCUUCUAGUCCAUGGCCCUCAUUCCUUACAAAUAGAAAAACAGAUUGUAAGCCGCUAGAUGCAAUUUUAAUCAGGUUUGGACACCAAGUCCAGCACUCUUUCCAAAGUACCACAUUACUUCCAAGGUCUUCCAAGCUUCCUUCCAGCUCUGCUCCAGUGUGUCUCCUCACAGUGUGAAAAUGAGCUGGGGUCUUCAAAGCUAUGCUGCUAGAAUGCAAGUUCUGAGAGAUCUUACAAUGAUAAUAAUGAUAAUAAUAGCUAGCAUUUAUAUAGUGCUUUACAGUUUAACAAAACACUUUAUGUGUUUUAUUCCUUUGGAUCCUCAUAAUAACCCUAUGAUAUAGUUGCUAUUGUUAUCCUUUUGCAGAUAAGGAAACUGAAUCUGAGAAGGGGGGUGACUUGCCCAGAGUCACACAGCAUCUCACAAGACUGGAACUCAAUCCUUUCAUGACUCCAGGUCCUGUGCUAUAUUCACUAUAUGACCAAUCUGCCAGCACACAACUGAGCCUGGCAACCUAUAUGGCCUGUUGUCUAUGAACUAGUUAAGUGUGAGGAGGCUCAUUACCUGAAGGUUACACCAAACUAUACCCCAGUGAGAACUUUAUUGGGACAAAUGGGAACAUCCUGAUCCCACAAGAAAAAAAUGACAAUGUACAGGACAUGACACUAACUCAUCACCCAGAGCUAUGGUCCUCAACAACGGAUAUCAAACUGCUGUAUUGUAAAGCAUCACAGACAGGGAAGGUAUUACUGUCACAAUAGGUAAUACUGUGAAAGACUGCCAUAGAUUCCAGGUUCCAUUAGAUCCUACUCCGGUAUCCAGAAGGGAAGUGAAGGGAAUGGUGAAACUGUGAUAGUCAACACAAAUCUCACUCCUCACUGGAAAGUAUCCAAUACAAUUUUGUCAAAAUGGGUUUAAUGGAAGGACCACAGAUGAAGCAAAUGGUUAAAGGUCAAUCUUUGGUCUUUGCCUGUUUUAUGUAGGAAGUGAGGAGCAGGAGGGUGUAAUAGAAAGGGUUCUGGACUUCACAGAAUGCCUGGGUUGAGAAUGCAACUCUGAUACUGACCAGCUAUAUGACCUUGGAUAAGUCCCCUCUUGUAGAUGCUCUGGGUUUGUUUCUUCAACUUAAGAAAGGAGAUAACAUUUGUGCUACCUUUCUUGGAAGGUACUUGGGAGAAGAGUGCUUUUGAAAAAUUAAAGCUCUAUGGAAAUUGGAGCUAUUAUUAAUAAAAUAACAAAAAUUCCUCUA